rnacentral:lncRNA from 1 species
AAUCAAUCUUUAGCAUUGCAAAGCAAACAUUAGUUAUAUAAUACUAAUAAUCUUGAUCCGAGAACAGGAAACGUUCAUGGUAGAGGACAAAGCAGUCGAUGACAAAACAGGAGUUUCUUAGGUUGCCAAUUGUUUCUAUGAUAUGUGGCCCAAGUAGCUAACAGCAGAGCUUUGCUUGCUAACAAAAAGUUCUGCUACUUUCAAGAGCUUCACAUGUGUCUUUUACAAGACAACAAAUUGCAAUCAUUCAAAAUCUGUCAUUUUCUAUUACUACAAACUCUUUAUAACCACUUCUUAAGAAACUAGUUGCACAUCAGGAAAGAAGUUAUUAGAAAAGAUCAGAAGUGAACCUGUUUUGAUUUCUUUCCCACGUUGUCAACACAGUUGCACCCACUUGUAACAGUAAAUACAAGUAUUACCCAUCAAAGAAAGUUAAACAAACAUGGCAUAUUAUCUAUCACGAGAACAAUAGUAAUUGCAUUUAUAGUAGCUCAAAGAACAGUUUAGGAAACGGUGCAAUUUGUAACAGUAUUAUCCAUCAGAGAAAGUUAACCAUACAUGACAUGCUAUCCAUUAUUAUGAGAACAGUAAUAAUUGCAUGUAUGCUCAAGAGAAAGUUUAAGAAACGGUGCCUGAAAGUUAAACAAAGAUAGAGACAAAUCCUUACUGGAGCAAUUCAACUGAUAGCUUUAUCGUCCUUGAUAUAAGAAGAUGCAGACUGAUCCUGGAAAUCAAAAAGAUGGUUAAUAUUUAUCGACCGUGCUCUAGAUUACCAUUGCAAAGUAUUAAGCUAAUGAGGCACAAUAAAUGAGAACAGAAAAGAACAUAGCUGGCAACUUUCCAGAAGAGGAAGACCCUCACGUUGAUGUUAUUCUCAGGUCGCUUUCGACUUUUGUAAUCUCCAAUCCAUCCUAAUGCACGUAGGAGCAAUUAACAGAUAGAUUGAAAACGAAAGAUGGGCCGUCCCAACCUAAUUAUAUGACCCACAAAACGUGAGAUACAUGAGAGAAUGUUGCUUAGUAAAUGCAUAAAACACUGAACUUGGUCUACGAAUUUCACCUUCAGGAAGAUUGAAGGACCAGACGAGUUCAACAAGUAAAGGCGAAGAACCAGCAUUUGUGUCAACAAUAGCAUGUGCACGUUCCAU